rnacentral:rRNA from 1 species
UACAGAGGUCUCAAGCGUUGUUCGGAUUCAUUGGGCGUAAAGGGUGUGUAGGUGGCGCCGUAAGUCGGGUGUGAAAUUUCGGAGCUUAACUCCGAAACUGCAUUCGAUACUACCGUGCUUGAGGACUGGAGAGGAGACUGGAAUUUACGGUGUAGCGGUGAAAUGCGUAGAUAUCGUAAGGAAGACCAGUGGCGAAGGCGGGUCUCUGGACAGUUCCUGACGCUGAGGCACGAAGGCCAGGGGGAGCAAACGGG